rnacentral:rRNA from 1 species
ACUCCUACGGGAGGCAGCAGUGGGAAUAUUGCACAAUGGGAAGCCAUCGAUGCAGCCAUGCCGCGCUGUGUGAAGAAGGCCAAUUCGGGCUUUGGUUAAAGACACUUUUCAGCGAGGAGGAAAGGGUGUGUGCUAAUACCAUACAUCUGUGACGUUACUCGCAGAAGAAGCACCGGCUAACUCCGUGCCAGCAGCCGCGGUAAUACGGAGGGUGCGAGCGUUAAUCGGAAUUACUGGGCGUAAAGCGCAUGCAGGUGGUUUGUUAAGUCAGAUGUGAAAGCCCGGGGCUCAAGCCUCGGAAUUGCAUUUGAAACUUGGACAGACUAGAGUACUGUAGAGGGGGUGAGAAUUG